GGGGACAACAGCUGGAAACGGCUGCUAAUACCGCAUAUGCGCGCAGGGCCGCAUGGUCUGGUGCGGAAAACUCCGGCGGUGUAAGAUGGGCCCGCGUCUGAUUAGGUAGUUGGCGGGGUAACGGCCCACCAAGCCGACGAUCAGUAGCCGGCCUGAGAGGGUGGACGGCCACAUUGGGACUGAGACACGGCCCAAACUCCUACGGGAGGCAGCAGUGGGGGAUAUUGCACAAUGGGCGCAAGCCUGAUGCAGCGACGCCGCGUGAGCGAAGAAGUAUUUCGGUAUGUAAAGCUCUAUCAGCAGGGAAGAAAAUGACGGUACCUGACUAAGAAGCUCCGGCUAAAUACGUGCCAGCAGCCGCGGUAAUACGUAUGGAGCAAGCGUUAUCCGGAUUUACUGGGUGUAAAGGGAGCGUAGGCGGCUCUGUAAGUCUGAUGUGAAAAUUUGGGGCUCAACCCCAAACGUGCAUUGGAAACUGCAGGGCUUGAGUGCCGGAGAGGCAGGCGGAAUUCCUAGUGUAGCGGUGAAAUGCGUAGAUAUUAGGAGGAACACCAGUGGCGAAGGCGGCCUGCUGGACGGUAACUGACGCUGAGGCUCGAAAGCGUGGGGAGCAAACAGGAUUAGAUACCCUGGUAGUCCACGCCGUAAACGAUGAA
rnacentral:rRNA from 1 species